rnacentral:rRNA from 1 species
CACGUAGGGGGCGAGCGUUGUCCGGAAUCAUUGGGCGUAAAGAGCUCGUAGGCGGCUCGGUAAGUCGGGUGUGAAACCCCCAGGCUCAACCUGGGGACGCCACCCGAUACUGCUGUGGCUAGAGUCCAGUAGGGGAGUGUGGAAUUCCCGGUGUAGCGGUGAAAUGCGCAGAUAUCAGGAGGAACACCGGUGGCGAAGGCGGAUCUCUGGGCCAUUACUGACGCUGAGGAGCGAAAGCGUGGGGAGCGAACAGG